CCUACGGGUGGCAGCAGUGAGGAAUAUUGGUCAAUGGGCGAGAGCCUGAACCAGCCAAGUCGCGUGAGGGAGUACUGCCCUAUGGGUUGUAAACCUCUUUUGUCGGGGAGCAAAAGCCGGACGUGUCCGGCUGUGAGAGUACCCGAAGAAAAAGCAUCGGCUAACUCCGUGCCAGCAGCCGCGGUAAUACCGAGGAUGCGAGCGUUAUCCGGGUUUAUUGGGUUUAAAGGGUGCGCAGGGGGAUUUUUAAGUCAGCGGUAAAAUCGUGGGGCUCAACCCCAUCCAGCCGUUGAAACUGGGGAUCUAGAGUGUGCGAGAGGUAUGCGGAAUGCGUGGUGUAGCGGUGAAAUGCAUAGAUAUCACGCAGAACCCCGAUUGCGAAGGCAGCAUACCGGUGCACAACUGACGCUCAGGCACGAAAGCGUGGGUAUCGAACAGGAUUAGAUACCCGAGUAGUC
rnacentral:rRNA from 1 species